UUUCAAGUCAUUUUGACUUCGUUUACUAUUUUUAUAAAAUGUAAAACCAAAACUACUACGUUCUGCCAAAAUGUUCGGUGAGUAGCCAAUAGAGUCACCUUUUUAAGUAUCUUUCCCUAACGUUUUGGAACCAAAAUUUUUAUUUGUAAGAUAUGAGUCUCUUAGAUAAGUACCCACCAAAUUUUAAGCCUUUUUGAGACCGUUUACUAUUUUUCAAAAAUUAAACCUUUCGAUUGCUAAAAACUGCCGAAUAUGGUAGACUGUAGUAAAACAGUCAUAUCUCCUAAAAUACUUGGAGUUUUUGAUCCUACCUUUUUUUAAAUGAAACUAGACUCAAAUUGGUUUCAUUUGGUAUAGGUCACGACUCAAUUGGAGUUCUGUACCGAGUCUGGUGAGGUUUUGAAAUCGAGUCAGUGCAGAGUGAAGGUUGUUUUUGACUUGUCUAUGUGUGAAUUUUAGAUGCUUAAGUGUUUAUGCUUGUUUAUAUGCUUGAUUGCUAUGAGUUUGAUCCGAGUUGAGUGUUAAAUCGAGAGAAGGACGUGUGAAUCCUUAGAAGUUAAGUAAACCUAGGGAUUGAGAUUUAUUGGGUAAAUAGAAGAUGAGUGAGAAGUAUUAGUUUGAGACGAGAUUGGUUUUAGUAACGAGUUCUAACUAAGGUUUGUUUUAUCACAUGAACCUUCGAUGACGAUGAUGAUGAUAUAUGAAGGCCCGAGCGAGAUGAAGAAGUAAGUCGCCUGUUUUCCUUUCCAAGUUGAGCGAAGGACUUCAGGCUAAGCGAGGAGCGAGAUUGGUCUGAUGCUGGUGGGGGAUUGUUUAGUUGAUGUAUUUACUUUAUCGCAUUUCCAUUUUGUCGAUACAGUCUUGAUGAUUGAGUUACUUUGUUUUCUUUUGAAUCAAGCAAUGUACUCUCGGUUAUGUGUCUUCAUACAUAUAAUCAGUUCGCCUUUUGCUGCGAUACUCUGAAUUUUAUGCUUCCUUAUAAAAAAUGAGCUAUACCC